ACAUCAAGAUCUGUACGAGUCUUGACGUGUUAGUAGUGAAAUUACGUUUUUACGUGAUUUUAUAUUAGUUUGUCAAGAAAUCUCGUCAUUAAACGCGUGAAUAUAUUUUUGGUUACAUCAUGGCUAAAACAAAAGCAGAGCGUUUAGCCCAACAAAGGCUCUGUAAAAGACGUAAGUAUUUGGAAAUAAAAAAUUACCCUGAAUUAUAUGCACUAGAAAAAGAAAAACAACGUGCUCAAAAAAAAAACUUAAAGAAGAAAAGAAACAGAAAUCUAUCACAGCAAGAAGUCCACGUGAACAGCGAAAAUUGCGUAAACAGUG